rnacentral:tRNA from 1 species
GCUGGGAUGGCGAAAUUGGGAGACGCAAUGGCCUUAGGAGCCAUUGAGAGUAAUCUCGUGGGAGUUCGAAUCUCCCUCCCAGCA